AUAGCAUCGAUGUCAUUCGUGAUCGGGAUAUCGAUCUCUGGAGAUGUGGAAUUUUGUAAAAAGUUUUGAAGAAUAUUUUGAAGAAUUUUGUUUUAUAUAUUGUUUUGUUCUUCAAAUCGAAACCAGUCAAAAGCACAUGCCAGUACACAUAUUGCACAGGGAUCUGUAACCUCUGAGUCUCCAAUACUAUCAACAUCCAAUAACGCUACUGUAUUGCCAAGAUGGCCAUCAUCUAAUCGUGUCAUACAUCCACAUUUAGUUGGACGUCGGAUAUCACACAAGUUUUUGUUGAUGAAGCUUCGGGCAUAGCCAAGUGGUAUGAUGGGACGGUACUUCAACUUGUCCGUGGUGUUGAUGGUCAUAAAGGAGCUGUAUAUAACGUGCAGUAUGAUUCAGAGAAUGAUGCUAUUGAAGUGGAUCAUUUGGUUGAAGAUUUUGAAGAGAAAUCAGUGACAUUUAUAGAUGUGUAGUCAGUUGUGGUUACAGAAAGUAAUACCAUCAUAUAAUACAAUUUCCACGCGUAAGGUCUCGAUCUUCAUAAUACAACAUAAUGUAUGCCCCUGUCGACUCCAUUGUGAUCAACAAUCUAACACAACAUCCACAGCUGAUAUAAUCGAAGGUCCACCCAAUCCACAUAUUGCUAGUGUGGGUACCAUACAAGAAUCCAGUUUGUUUUAUCUCAUAAUCAAGGGAAAUAUUCUUCUGAAUACAGAUUAAGAGUUUACAGCCUCUUUGUGUCGUAUUACGUAUUCAACAUUUAAUACCCGAAAAAUUAUCUUCAGUACUGUUUAAUGAACACAACACCCAAGAAAAGAUCACCAUCAAAAAUUAUAAAUGUGUGGGACAAAAUUCAGAAAAAAUGCUUUUGAUAAAUACUAUUUCAAGCUCAUGUGAUAAACAUUUCAAAGGAGGUUAAAAAUUGUGUCAAAUUUUAAGUGAGACCUUUUUUAAAGAAAAUAUGUGUGAUCAAUAAUGGUGAUAUUGUUGUUGGUGAUAUUACAAUUACUUGUAUGUUUUACAUCUAGUGUUUCUGUUUCGUUAGUAUUAUGAUAUAAAGAAUUCCCUAUUUCAUCAAAGCACAUCUAAUUGCACAAAGAAUUACGAUGCUGAACUACUAAUAUGUAAAUAAAUUAAAUAGAAAGGUGGAAUAUGAGCAAUUUCCCCAGAAUGUUAAAGGCGUGGUUUAUGUGGGCAGAUAAAAAUGGCUACAUGAUAGUUCUACUUUCCUUGUUGAGAGCGAGAAACCAAGCGCACUAAAAACUGUUCUAAGUGCUGUUGGGUGUCCGUCUGCCAAUCAACUGUAUUCUAAAAGAUCUUUAUAGUCCCUCUAUUUAACAGCAUUUACAACAUGUGAUGUUGUACCCUCUUUAAAUUUUGUCAUGUAGCUGUUUUGAUGUUCACUAUAUAAUUUUAAUAUUUGUCUUAGACUGAGGUUUUUAUCCACAGACAUAUUUCUUUUUGUCCCAUUGCAUGUUGGAUAACUUAUGUUUAUUAAACUGUAUUAUAUAUUUCCUGAAUGAUUAUGCAGAAUUUAAGUUUUUAUCUUUCUGUCUCAUGAUUCAUUCCUGAAUUUCCAUUUUCAGGUAUUAAAAAUUUACCAACUUGGUUAAUAUCUUUCAAUACAUUAAACAGAAGGAAAGAUUAGUGAGUCUCCAAUUUGUGUGCAAAAGAUUUUGGGGCAUUGUUCAACUCUCAUCGCUGUGGUCAAGUGUUGAUGAAGAUAUCAUUAAUAGCUAUCUAGGGUUGAGUCAUGUUACUGUUAUGCAUUAUAAUCAAGUUAAGAAAAUAGCAUUAUCUGGUUCAUGGUUGUCUAGCUUAUCACCAGGUGUCCUGGCUACACAUUUGCCGUUGUGUGACAAUUUGACCCAUGUAACUGUGCUUAGCAAUUUUGUGACAGAAGUUAGCCUAUUUUGCAGACUUGAAAUUCCUCAAUAUUUCACAUUGUCCACGCAUAAAUGUAAACUCAUUAUUUAGAGCUCGCGGUAGAUUAAAUUUGCAAUCUUUGGAGAUGUGUCAUUGUUACACACUUAGGGAAACUGAACUAAUUGAAGUUGCUAGACUUGUACCUGACAUUGAUGUUCUGGAUAUAAGUUUUUGCAGCAGACUAAGUCUUACAAAAGUCAUAACUAUCAUCGAAAAUUCAAACAUUAAAUAUCUGAAAGUUACCCCAUCGAAUUUUGAUUCAAACAACCUAUCAUUUGAAAGUGUGCAAGAAAUCUACAGAGACUAGUUUCUUCAAUCCUUAUGACCUACACUUUUGUAGGUAAAUAUAUUGGUGAUAUUCGUAAAGCCUUUCAUCCGUUUAUUUAUAGAGUCACAUGUACAUCAGUAGAACAGUAUAUUCUGAUUAUCUUAGUAUGCUAAUAUGAUGCAUUAUAAUGUGCAUUUCUACGGUGGAAGUAGGGUUAAUUUUCUUUUGGUUUUAAUAAUAUUUACAGUCUUUCAAUUGCAAGUUAUUGUAGUUUUUUGAAGGGGUCUUUCUAUUAUUGAAAUUUCUAAGCUUUUUGUUUUUGCUACAAGUAGUAUAAGGGGGUUCGGUGACAUGUACCUGUUGUAAAAGUGUUUUCAAGUACCGGUAGUACUUAAGUUCCUGUACUUGUUAUUAUUUCAGUUACUGUAUUUGUUAAGUUAAUACACAAGUUACUGUACUUAAUAGUGUGCUUUUAAUAUACAAGUUCCUAUACUUGUUAAUACUUAAGUUACUGUACUUGUUGGCGUACUUUAUAGUAAGUUCCUGUAUACUUGUUAAUACUUAAGUAAUUGUACUUGGGCUAUAAGUUCCUUUCCAUAAGUAUAAAAUGAUCCCGAAUGUCAAUGUUGUCUCCAACAGGUAAAUUUCCAUGUUAACGAUUUCUGACGUUCUCCAUGAGCAGUCGUAAUUUUCCAGCAAUCAGAAAAUCAUGACAUCAUUUAAGUCCUUCAGGUUACCGGAAAAGCAUUAUUAAUCAUUUAAAUAAUGGAAGUAAAUAUUUCGCCAUAUCCUUUCCAUAAGUAUAAAAUGAUCCCGAAUGUCAAUGUUGUCUCCAACAGGUAAAUUUCCAUGUUAACGAUUUCUGACGUUCUCCAUGAGCAGUCGUAAUUUUCCAGCAAUCAGAAAAUCAUGACAUCAUUUUAUACCUAUGGAAAGGAUAUGGCGACAUAAUUACUUCCAUUAUUUAAAUGGUUUAUAAAGUUUUCUGGUAACCUUUAAAAAGUGUCUAAACUAAAAUGUACUCCAAGUACAUUUGAAGAUAUGACUAUGAGGCUCCCUUAAAUUAUUUUGUUAAUAUAUGAUUGAUGUAGAGUAUUCAACAGUUUCUGUGUUUUUGUUGUAUGCUGAUGUAAGGCAAGGAUAGCCUUAGUUUUGUUCAUCCUAACUUUUGUUUGAAACUAUUUGGCCAUAUGUUUUAGUUUAGACAAUGAUGAAGAAAUGUUUUGCAAAUAAUUGAUUUAUAUAUGAGAAGAUUAUUUCUUACAUUUCAUAAUUCGUUACAUUUUUUAUACAUUCUUACUUUUUAUGAGGUAUUGGUAUUUUGAAUUGAAGUAAUGCAACAAAGGUGGAUUUGUAAAAUGGUUUAAUAUUUUUUGUGUGCUCAUAUUUAUGUGUGGGUGUAUCAUGUUGUCCCCCAUGUCUGUAGGUGAACAAUUGACCCUUUGACACAAUUUGGGCUACGGUUUUAACAGAUUUUUUUUCAAAUUUAUGUGAAGCUUUUGGGUAAUGAGAGGAUGAACAAUAUCAAUUGUCAGAGCUAUGCAACUUGUCAUUCCUAUGUUAUCACCCCUUUCCCAAAACAUUGUUAAUGCGAUAAAGGCUGCAGUUUUGCAGCCGAUUUCCAUACCAUUACGCCCCUAUCCGUGGGUAUGUCAGUUCACAUAGGGUCACAAUUUUUAUCCAAUUUCGACAAAACUUGAAAUAUAGCUAUACAUGUAUGUCCAAAAGAUCUUGACAGAUUUGGUUUAUGUGAAUAAUUAGGACUGUUUGAAGAUUAACCCUAUUAAUUUUCAAAUUUGUGUGAAGCAAUCUGUGACUUUCUGUUCCAAAGACAUAUUAUCUGUCUGGAUAGAGAUCAGAUUUUUUUUUGUAGGAUCAUAGAUCCUUUAUGUAAGUGUUCCUUUAAAAUAUGCUGCUGUUGAGACAUAGCUGCUUUAUGGGCGUAUUUCUGUAAAGCAGUAAAGUCCUAAUUUUUUUUAGUCCUCAUUGAUGUCAAAAUGUUUUACCUGUAUACUUUAGAUAAUAUAUAGACAUGAUAAAUCAUUUGCUUAUAUAUAUAUUGAUUUAUAAUCUUUAUAAUAAUGUUUAAAGAUUUUGUAGUC